UACGGAAGGAGCGAGCGUUGUUCGGAAUCAUUGGGCGUAAAGGGCGCGUAGGCGGUCGACCAAGUCGGGUGUGAAAUCCCUCGGCUCAACCGAGGAAUUGCAUUCGAUACUGGUCGUCUCGAGUCCGAGAGGGGAUAGCGGAAUUCCCAGUGUAGCGGUGAAAUGCGUAGAUAUUGGGAAGAACACCGAUGGCGAAGGCGGCUACCUGGAUCGGUACUGACGCUGAGGCGCGAAAGCCAGGGGAGCGA
rnacentral:rRNA from 1 species